AUUGAACGCUGGCGGCAGGCCUAACACAUGCAAGUCGAGCGGCAGCGGAAAGUAGCUUGCUACUUUGCCGGCGAGCGGCGGACGGGUGAGUAAUGUCUGGGAAACUGCCUGAUGGAGGGGGAUAACUACUGGAAACGGUAGCUAAUACCGCAUAACGUCGCAAGACCAAAGAGGGGGACCUUCGGGCCUCCUGCCAUCAGAUGUGCCCAGAUGGGAUUAGCUGGCAGGUAGGGUAAUGGCCUACCUGGGCGACGAUCCCUAGCUGGUCUGAGAGGAUGACCAGCCACACUGGAACUGAGACACGGUCCAGACUCCUACGGGAGGCAGCAGUGGGGAAUAUUGCACAAUGGGCGCAAGCCUGAUGCAGCCAUGCCGCGUGUGUGAAGAAGGCUUUCGGGUUGUAAAGCACUUUCAGCGAGGAGGAAGGCAGUAAGGUUAAUAACCUUGCUGAUUGACGUUACUCGCAGAAGAAGCACCGGCUAACUCCGUGCCAGCCGCCGCCGUAA
rnacentral:rRNA from 1 species